GGAAUUUUCCACAAUGGGCGAAAGCCUGAUGGAGCAACGCCGCGUGGGGGAUGACGCACUUCGGUGUGUAAACCCCUUUUCGGGGGGACGAAGCAAAUGACGGUACCCCCGGAAGAAGGACCGGCUAACUACGUGCCCGCCGCCGCGGUAAGACGUAGGGUCCGAGCGUGGUCCGGACUUAUGGGGCGUAAAGCGCGCGCAGGCGGUGAGUCGCAUCGGCGGUGAAAGCCCCCCGCUCAACGGGGGAGGGUCCGCCGAGAUGGGCUGACUGGAGGCAGGGAGAGGCGAGUGGAAUUCCGGGUGUAGUGGUGAAAUGCGUAGAGAUCCGGAGGAACACCAGUGGCGAAGGCGGCUCGCUGGACCUGACCUGACGCUGAGGCGCGAAGGCGUGGGGAGCGAAC
rnacentral:rRNA from 1 species